rnacentral:rRNA from 1 species
CCCUUAGAUGUUCUGGGCCGCACGCGCGCUACACUGACGAAUUCAACGAGUUUAUAACCUUUGCUGGGAGGCAUGGGUAAUCUUGUAAACGUUCGUCGUGAUGGGGAUAGAUUAUUGCAAUUGUUAAUCUUCAACGAGGAAUUCCUAGUAAACGCAAGUCAUCAGCUUGCAUUGAUUACGUCCCUGCCCUUUGUACACACCGCCCGUCGCACCUACCGAUUGAAUGGUCCGGUGAAUUCUUCGGACUGCGGCUUUGACUCGAUUUCGGUCGACGCGUUGCUGCGGGAAGUUGAUUAAACCUUACCAUUUAGAGGAAGGUGAAGUCGUAACA